rnacentral:lncRNA from 1 species
GGAAACUGGAUGUUCUCCUAAAACAGACCUUGGGAGAAAGCGCUUUCACCUCCUCACCACAGACACUCUCGACUGUGGACUCAGGACACUAAGCCAGAAAGGUGACGAUUUCCUUCUUGAACCCGGCCUGCAUCAGCAGCUCAGACCCAGGGCUCCGGGUCCUUUGCUCUAUGUCCAGUGCUCUUUUUGCUCCCUCACACACUUAGCGAUGGCAGUGUUCUUAGUAUACUCAAAGAGCUUUGUAAUGAAUUAGAGCAGCCAUUCCCAACCUUCCUAGUGCUGCGGUCCUUUAAUACAGUUUCUUAAGUUGUGGCGAACCAUCCCCCCCACCCCCAACCAUAACAUUAUUCUUGCUGCUGCUGUUAUGAAUCGUAAUGAAACAUUUGAUCUGCAGUACAUCUGAUAUGUGAUUCCCGAGAAAGGGCCAUCAUAUUCCAAGGGAUCGGGACCCACAGCGUGAGAAGCCCUGAACUAGAGAUCCGCCUAAACUGAGAAACAACCUAGCACCUAUCCCAGCCCAUCAAUGUUGUAUAUGGCAACAGAUUCAAAAGCCCAGACUAAAACAUACUCACCAUCCAUGUUACCAGCUCUCACCAUGGGGCAGCAAUGUGGAUUUAGUAAGCAUAGCCCACGGGCACUCAUUUUGAAGACACUAGGAGAACUUCAAAGCCAGGUUUGUUCUUCUGCCUCUGGUGACAUUUUUAAAAUUUCAGCACUGUUUUUUUUUUUAAUUGAUUCGAACCUGACAAGACUGACUAGCCAUCUCUAGCAUUCAGAUAGGUGGAACUUCAUUGUGCUGAAUGUGAGCGAGCAGUCUCCUUCCUGCUGCUGCAGCUGCAAGCUGCUCCUGCCGCCCAUGCCUUCUCUACUGCCAUGCCUUCCCUACCACAAGGGCCAGAACUCUCACACUGAAAGCCAGAAUAAAUCCUUCCUCUCUUCGGUUGGUUGUUGUCAGGUAAUUGGUCCCAACCAUGGUAAAGCUUAGUGGAAAAGAAAAAAAAGGUAAAAAUCUAUUGUAGACUGAGUGCCCUGAAUCAGAAAACACACAGUCCAGCUGCUCUGAAAUCUAAGCAUCAUCGUGACACUACAAAGAGAAAACUCCAUAUCUGACCACACAUGAGAAUCUACUGAUGAAUACAACCAUGGGUUUACUAAAAAAAGGUGUAUAAAAUGAUCUUCAAGCUGCUCGUAUAAGAUAGGUAUGAAGUGUAAAUUGAAUUUUGGGUCUGACCCCCUAACAUAUUUUCCUGCGUGAAUACAAAUUCCCUCAAGUCCAAAUAACCCCACACUUGGGCGUUUCAGAUAGGGGAUACCCAAUCUGUAAGCCGUUUACUGCCAUAGAGAAGCUAUGAUGCAAGCAGAGCCUACUAACAACUUGGCCAAAACACUUCUAAUAACAGAACUUCACAUGGGUUUCCAUGAGGUCAGAAUGGAAGUAGGAGGAUACAUUGUUUGACGUCAUGGUAUCUGUCCAAUUAAGGUCUGUGUGAGCCUUCCAUCACCAUAACAAAACACAGAACAGAAUCAGCUUUUUAAGGGGGCUUAUUUUGGAUUAUGGUUGCAUAGGAAGAUAUAUAGAUAGGAUCUCCAUGCCAAUAUUUUUAAUGGGUGCUGUCUCUAUUGCUCUGGGCAGGAGAAGGCAGCAGCUGGCAUCAAUGGUGUGGUGAGGAGAGAAUCAAGUUUCCUUCUCCAGUUCAAACAGACGAAAGUGAAGCGACAUAGGCUCAAGGACAGGGUCACUGGGCUAGCGCCACACCAUGGAGCCAAACCCCGAGCCUUCUAAAUUGUGAGCUGGGCAUGGUGGUUCACCCCAGGAAUCGCAGCACUGAGGGAUGAAGGCGAGAGAGUCACUGUGGGUGUGACAUCAGUCUGGCCUGAAGUCUGAGACUGUUUUUUUAAAAAGAAAACAUUUUUUUAUGUCAUAUAUUUAAUUAUAUAAAGAUUCUGUUGUUUUGUUGUUGUUGUUGUUAAAAUUCAGCCAGGAAAUUUCCAUCUGUCUGGUGUUAAUUGGUUGUUUUUCAGCACUAAUUGGGAAAUGAUAUAUUUUUAUUGUUUUAUAAAUAGAGUAAAACCCCUCAGAAACUGCUGGGGAAAUUUAAACAAGGAAAGCAAUUCUAUGUCCUUGCUUGACACCAGUUUGUCCCAGAGGUGACACAACUGUGUAGUUUUUGAAAACACUGGGCA